CCCUUAGAUGUUCUGGGCCGCACGCGCGCUACACUGACUGCUCCAACAAGUUACCUGGGCUGACAAGUAUCCGGGAAAUCUUGCAAAGGCAGUCGUGAUGGGGAUAGAUUCUUGUAAUUUUUGAUCUUCAACGAGGAAUUCCUAGUAAACGCAAGUCAUCAGCUUGCAUUGAUUACGUCCCUGCCCUUUGUACACACCGCCCGUCGCAUCUACCGAUUGAAUGGAGAGGCAAAAUCUUCGGACCGUGACGCUUGGGAGUCAAAUCUCGGGCUGUCGUGGGAAGUGGAUUAAACCUUUCUAUUUAGAGGAAGGUAAAGUCGUAACA
rnacentral:rRNA from 1 species